GAUCCUCUCUGCCGCCAUCUUCAUCACUAUCUUAGGCCUGCUUGGUUACCUCCACUUUGUGAAGAUUGAUCAGGAGACUCUAUUAAUCAUCGACUCACUUGGCAUCCAGAUGACUUCGUCCUAUGCAUCGGGCAAAGAAAGUACCACCUUCAUAGAGAUGAACAAGGUCAAGGAUAUUAUCAUUAAUGAGGCUAUUUACAUGCAGAAGGUCAUUUACUACCUCUGCAUUUUACUGAAGGAUCCAGGGAAACCACAUGAGAUAUCCCAAGUAGUGCCUGUCUUCCAGGUGAGUACCAUGCUCUCCCUUUCUCCCGAAAGCCUGCCUUUUCUUUCUGCUUACCCUUAAGUCAGAAAGUGCAGUA
rnacentral:lncRNA from 1 species